rnacentral:rRNA from 1 species
AGAACGAACGCUGGCGGCAUGCCUAACACAUGCAAGUCGAACGCGGGGAGCAAUCUCUGCGUGGCGCACGGGUGAGUAACGCGUGGGAACCUGCCCUCGAGUGGGGGAUAACCCGGCGAAAGCCGGGGUAAUACCGCAUACGUCCCGUCGCAAGACGGGAGAAAGAUUUAUCGCUCGAGGAGGGGCCCGCGUCGGAUUAGCUAGUUGGUGAGGUAACGGCUCACCAAGGCGAUGAUCCGUAGCUGGUCUGAGAGGAUGAUCAGCCACACUGGGACUGAGACACGGCCCAGACUCCUACGGGAGGCAGCAGUGGGGAAUAUUGGACAAUGGGCGCAAGCCUGAUCCAGCAAUGCCGCGUGAGUGAUGAAGGCCUUAGGGUUGUAAAGCUCUUUCGCACGCGACGAUGAUGACGGUAGCGUGAGAAGAACGCCCGGCUAACUUCGUGCCAGCAGCCGC